rnacentral:rRNA from 1 species
UUAGGAAUAUUCGUCAAUGGGGGAAACCCUGAACGAGCAAUGCCGCGUGAACGAUGAAGGCCCUCUGGGUUGUAAAGUUCUGUUGUUAUGGAAGAACUGUAAGAUUAGGAAAUGAAUCUUACUUGACGGUACAUUUCAAGAAAGCCACGGCUAACUACGUGCCAGCAGCCGCGGUAAUACGUAGGUGGCGAGCGUUAUCCGGAUUUAUUGGGCGUAAAGCGUCCGCAGACGGUUUAUUAAGUAUAUAAUUAAAGCCCGAAGCUUAACUUCGGUUCGUUAUAUAAACUGGUAGACUUGAGUACAGUAGAGGCAAGUGGAAUUUCUAGUGUAGCGGUAAAAUGCGUAGAUAUUAGAAGGAACACCAGUGGCGAAGGCGACUUGCUGGGCUGUUACUGACGUUCAUGGACGAAAGCGUGGGGAGCAAAUAGG